GCCCCCGUUGUCUAAUGGCUAUGACGUCAGACUUCUACUUCACUCGCAGUGAGAUAGCUCUUGUCCAUCUGGAGGUUGCGGGUUCGAGUCCCGCCGGGGGUU